AUUGAACGCUGGCGGCAGGCCUAACACAUGCAAGUCGAGCGGCAGCGGGAAAGUAGCUUGCUACUUUUGCCGGCGAGCGGCGGACGGGUGAGUGAUGCCUGGGAAAUUGCCCAGUCGAGGGGGAUAACAGUUGGAAACGACUGCUAAUACCGCAUGCGCCCUACGGGGGAAAGCAGGGGACCUUCGGGCCUUGCGCGAUUGGAUAUGCCCAGGUGGGAUUAGCUAGUUGGUGAGGUAAUGGCUCACCAAGGCGACGAUCCCUAGCUGGUCUGAGAGGAUGAUCAGCCACACUGGAACGGAGACACGGUCCAGACUCCUACGGGAGGCAGCAGUGGGGAAUAUUGCACAAUGGGGGAAACCCUGAUGCAGCCAUGCCGCGUGUGUGAAGAAGGCCUUCGGGUUGUAAAGCACUUUCAGCGAGGAGGAAAGGUUGAUGCCUAAUACGUAUCAACUGUGACGUUACUCGCAGAAGAAGCACCGGCUAACUCCGUGCCAGCCGCCGCAGUAACAC
rnacentral:rRNA from 1 species